rnacentral:rRNA from 1 species
GAUGAACGCUAGCGGCAGGCCUAACACAUGCAAGUCGAGGGGUAACAGAAAAGCUUGCUUUUGCUGACGACCGGCGCACGGGUGCGUAACGCGUAUGCAACCUACCUCAUACUGGAGGAUAGCCCCUGGAAACGGGGAUUAAUACUCCAUAGUAUCACAAUUUCGCAUGUUAUUGUGAUUAAAGUUUUCGGUAUGAGAUGGGCAUGCGUCCCAUUAGCUUGUUGGUGAGGUAACGGCUCACCAAGGCAACGAUGGGUAGGGGGCCUGAGAGGGUGGUCCCCCACACUGGUACUGAGACACGGACCAGACUCCUACGGGAGGCAGCAGUGAGGAAUAUUGGUCAAUGGAGGAAACUCUGAACCAGCCAUGCCGCGUGAAGGAUGACGGCCCUAUGGG